rnacentral:tRNA from 1 species
UCUACAGUCCACCGCUCUACCAACUGAGCUAUCGAAGG